ensembl:misc_RNA Y_RNA Y RNA
GGCUGGUCUGAUAGUAGUGGGUUAUCAGAACUUACUAAUAUUAGUGUCACUAAAGUUGGCAUACAACCCCCCACUGCUAAAUUUGACUGGCUUAAA